UGCCGAAACUAGGGACCUUUAGAUCUUCAGUCUAACGCUUUCCCAACUGAACUAUUUCGGC
rnacentral:tRNA from 1 species